ACGUGACGUUACACGCUUUAGUCGUGUAGCAGGAGACGGAAAUUUGUUGCGCCUUCUCUGUUGGCCCCGCCUUGAAAGUCAGCCAAUCGGCCUCUCCAGUCUGCCCGGCUCCCGGUCACCCUUGCCUACGGCUCCACUUAACCCCGCCCCUCUACCUACGGACGGCUUAACUGAUUUGAAAUAAUGGGUGAAGCCAGACUAAGCUCUGAACAAAAAAAGUUUAUCCACUGGACUAUUUUAUGGGAAUACAUAAAAGAUAAAGUUUACGGUACAAAACUGGCAACAGUUGACAAAUUGAGGGUGCACAAAUACUGAACGAAAUGAUCCUUGAUGUUUGUGAUUCCGUUGCUUCACAUUAUCGGCAGAAUGGUCACCAGUUUGAAAACGCAUUGAACAACAACAACAAAAGUAUUCAUUUCUGUAGAUUCUUUUAAAUUUUGAAAAUGAACUGUAUAUAAUAAACACUAACUUUAUAAUCA